AUUGAGCGCUGGCGGCAGGCCUAACACAUGCAAGUCGAGCGGAUGAAGGGAGCUUGCUCCUGGAUUCAGCGGCGGACGGGUGAGUAAUGCCUAGGAAUCUGCCUGGUAGUGGGGGAUAACGUCCGGAAACGGGCGCUAAUACCGCAUACGUCCUGAGGGAGAAAGUGGGGGAUCUUCGGACCUCACGCUAUCAGAUGAGCCUAGGUCGGAUUAGCUAGUUGGUGGGGUAAAGGCCUACCAAGGCGACGAUCCGUAACUGGUCUGAGAGGAUGAUCAGUCACACUGGAACUGAGACACGGUCCAGACUCCUACGGGAGGCAGCAGUAGGGAAUAUUGGACAAUGGGCGAAAGCCUGAUCCAGCCAUGCCGCGUGUGUGAAGAAGGUCUUCGGAUUGUAAAGCACUUUAAGUUGGGAGGAAGGGCAGUAAGUUAAUACCUUGCUGUUUUGACGUUACCAACAGAAUAAGCACCGGCUAACUUCGUG
rnacentral:rRNA from 1 species